rnacentral:other from 1 species
GGCGUUCUGGACUUCCCGGCAGGAGUAACAUUUCCCCGGGGCCUUAUUGAUCUCGAAGGGAGCUGUCCCUGAUUGGACCCGUGGGUUCUUUCACAUGGCGCCCACCUACUUUGUAGGUUCCCGGGAUCAACCUCUCCACCGGUUGUCUGGACGCCG